rnacentral:rRNA from 11 species
AGACAAUCAGGAGGUUUGCUUAGAAGCAGCAAUCCUUUAAAGAGUGCGUAAUAGCUCACUGAUCGAGUAAACCUGCGCCGAAAAUGUACGGGACUAAGUAAUUUGCCGAAACUGUGCGAUAUAUAAAAUAUAUCGGUAGGGGAGCGUUCUGUUGUAGGUUGAAGUAUUAGCGGAAGCGGAUAUGGACGAAGCAGAAGUGAGAAUGUCGGCUUGAGUAACGAAAAUAUAGGUGAGAAUCCUAUACCCCGAAAACCCAAGGUUUCCUCCGGAAGGCUCGUCCGCGGAGGGUAAGUCAGGACCUAAGGCGAGGCUGAAAAGCGUAGUCGAUGGACAACGGGUUAAUAUUCCCGUACCAUUAUUUGUUGAUAUCGAGGGACGGAGAAGGCUAAGCUGGCCGGAUAUUGGUUACCGGUUUAAACGUUCGAGAUGAUGAGAAACGGCGAAAACGUUUUGAGUUGAGGCGUGAGUACGAGAUGCUACGGCAUUGAAGCAGUCUAUGUCAUACUUCCAAGAAAAGCUUGCACUGUCAUAAACAAAUAAUGCCUGUACCAUAACCGACACAGGUGGGUAGGUAGAGUAUACUAAGGGGCGCGAGAUAACUCUCUCUAAGGAACUCGGCAAAAUGACUCCGUAACUUCGGGAGAAGGAGUGCCUUAUUUAUAAGGUUGCAAUAACAAGAUCCAAGCAACUGUUUAUCAAAAACACAGGUCUCCGCUAAGUCGUAAGACGAUGUAUGGGGGCUGACGCCUGCCCAGUGCCAGAAGGUUAAAGAAGUUGGUUAGCAUUAGCGAAGCUGAUAACUGAAGCCCUGGUGAACGGCGGCCGUAACAAUAACGGUCCUAAGGUAGCGAAAUUCCUUGUCGGGUAAGUUCCGACCCGCACGAAAGGCGUAAUGAUUUGGAUACUGUCUCAGAGAGGGGCUCGGUGAAAUAGACUUGUCUGUGAAGAUGCGGACUACCUGCACCAGGACAGAAAGACCCUAUGAAGCUUUACUGUAACUUGAAAUUGAAAUUGGACUUUAUUUGCGCAGUAUAGGUGGGAGGCUUUGAAGGUAUUCUUGUGGGAAUACUGGAGCCAUCAGUGAGAUACCACUCUUGUAAUGUUAGAUUUCUAACUUUGAAUCAUUAUCUGGUCAAAGAACAGUUUCAGGCGGGCAGUUUGACUGGGGCGGUCGCCUCCUAAACGGUAACGGAGGCGCACAAAGGUUUCCUCUGAACGGGUAGAAAUCGUAUCUAGAGUGUAAAGGCAUAAGGAAGCUUGACUGUGAGACCUACAAGUCGAGCAGGGACGAAAGUCGGUCUUAGUGAUCUGACGGUGCUGAGUGGAAAGGCCGUCACUCAACGGAUAAAAGUUACUCUAGGGAUAACAGGCUGAUCUCCCCCAAGAGUUCACAUCGACGGGGAGGUUUGGCACCUCGAUGUCGGCUCAUCGCAUCCUGGGGCGGUAGUACGUCCCAAGGGUUGGGCUGUUCGCCCAUGAAAGCGGUACGCGAGCUGGGUUCAGAACGUCGUGAGACAGUUCGGUCCAUAUCCGGUGUAGGCGUUAGAAUAUUGAGAGGAGCCUUCUUUAGUACGAGAGGACCGAGAAGGACAUACCUAUGGUGUACCAGUUAUCGUGCCAACGGUAAACGCUGGGUAGCUAUGUAUGGAGUGGAUAACCGCUGAAAGCAUCUAAGUGGGAAGCCCACCUCAAGAUAAGUAUUCUCAUCACGUAAGUGAAUAAGGUCACGGUAAGACUAACCGUUUGAUAGGCAUUAAGUGUAAACCUAGUAAUAGGUGUGCUGAGAUGUACUAACAGACCGAAGACUUG